rnacentral:rRNA from 1 species
GACGAACGCUGGCGGCGUGCUUAACACAUGCAAGUCGAACGGAAAGGCCCUGCUUUUGUGGGGUGCUCGAGUGGCGAACGGGUGAGUAACACGUGAGUAACCUGCCCUUGACUUUGGGAUAACUUCAGGAAACUGGGGCUAAUACCGGAUAGGAGCUCCUGCUGCAUGGUGGGGGUUGGAAAGUUUCGGCGGUUGGGGAUGGACUCGCGGCUUAUCAGCUUGUUGGUGGGGUAGUGACUUACCAAGGCUUUGACGGGUAGCCGGCCUGAGAGGGUGACCGGCCACAUUGGGACUGAGAUACGGCCCAGACUCCUACGGGAGGCAGCAGUGGUGAAUAUUGCACAAUGGGCGGAAGCCUGAUGCAGCAACGCCGCGUGCGGGAUGACGGCCUUCGGGUUGUAAACCGCUUUCGCCUGUGACGAAGCGUGAGUGACGGUAAUGGGUAAAGAAGCACCGGCUAACUACGUG